UCUCGGCUUAUCACCGGCAGUCCCCUUAGAGUGCCCAGCUUAAUGCUGGCAACUAAGGGCGAGGGUUGCGCUCGUUGCGGGACUUAACCCAACAUUUCACAACACGAGCUGACGACAGCCAUGCACCACCUGUAUACCGACCACAAGGGGGGCCGUAUCUCUACGGCUUUCCGGUAUAUGUCAAACCCAGGUAAGGUUCUUCGCGUUGCAUCGAAUUAAUCCACAUGCUCCGCCGCUUGUGCGGGCCCCCGUCAAGUCCUUUGAGUUUUAGCCUUGCGGCCGUACUCCCCAGGCGGGGCGCUUAAUGCGUUAGCUACGGCACGGAACCCGUGGAAAGGAUCCCACACCUAGCGCCCAACGUUUACGGUGUGGACUAC
rnacentral:misc_RNA from 1 species